rnacentral:rRNA from 1 species
GACGAACGCUGGCGGCGUGCUUAACACAUGCAAGUCGAACGAAGAGCGAUGGAAGCUUGCUUCUAUCAAUCUUAGUGGCGAACGGGUAAGUAACGCGUAAUCAACCUGCCCUUCAGAGGGGGACAACAGUUGGAAACGACUGCUAAUACCGCAUACGAUCUAAUCUCGGCAUCGAGGAUAGAUGAAAGGUGGCCUCUACAUGUAAGCUAUCACUGAAGGAGGGGAUUGCGUCUGAUUAGCUAGUUGGAGGGGUAACGGCCCACCAAGGCGAUGAUCAGUAGCCGGUCUGAGAGGAUGAACGGCCACAUUGGGACUGAGACACGGCCCAGACUCCUACGGGAGGCAGCAGUGGGGAAUCUUCCGCAAUGGACGAAAGUCUGACGGAGCAACGCCGCGUGAGUGAUGACGGCCUUCGGGUUGUAAAGCUCUGUUAAUCGGGACGAAAGGCCUUCUUGCGAAUAGUGAGAAGGAUUGACGGUACCGGAAUAGAAAGCCACGGCUAACUACGUG